UCCUGCGGGAGGCAGCAGUAGGGAUUUCGUCAAUGGCGCAAGCCUGAACGAGCAAUGCCGCGUGAGUGAGGAAGUCUUCGGAUCGUAAAGCUCUGUGUAAGGGAAAAAGGGAUAUAAGAGGAAAUGCUUAUAUUUGAUGGUACUUACCAGAAAGUCACGGCUAACUACGUGCCAGCAGCCGCGGUAAUACGUAGGUGGCGAGCGUUAUCCGGAAUGAUUGGGCGUAAAGGGUGCGCAGGCGGCAUGUCAAGUCUGAAGUGAAAGGUACCAGCUUAACUGGUACAGGCUUUGGAAACUGGCAUGCUAGAGGACAGGAGAGGGCGGUGGAACUCCAUGUGUAGCGGUAAAAUGCGUAGAUAUAUGGAAGAACACCAGUGGCGAAGGCGGCCGCCUGGACUGUUACUGACGCUCAGGCACGAAAGCGUGGGGAGCAAAUAGGAUUAGAUACCCUAGUAGUCCACGCCCUAAACGAUGAGGAGCAGGUGUCGGGGGUAGAGCCCCGGUGCCGAAGCCAACGCAGUGACUCCUCCGCCUGGGGAGUAUGCACGCAAGUGUGAAACUCAAAGGAAUUGACGGGGGCCCGCACAAGCGGUGGAGUAUGUGGUUUAAUUCGAAGCAACGCGAAGAACCUUACCAGGCCUUGACAUGGGAUGCGAAGGUGCAGAGAUGCACUGGAGGUUACCAUCCACACAGGUGGUGCAUGGUUGUCGUCAGCUCGUGUCGUGAGAUGUUCAGUUAAGUCUGGCAACGAGCGCAACCCUCGUGAUAUGUUGCUAACAUUCAGUUGAGGACUCAUAUCAGACUGCCGGUACAAACCGGAGGAAGGUGGGGAUGACGUCAAAUCAUCAUGCCCCUUAUGGCCUGGGCUACACACGUACUACAAUGGCAUCUACAAAGGGAAGCGAACCUGUGAAGGGAAGCGAACCCCAGAAAAGAUGUCCCAGUUCGGAUUGAAGUCUGCAACCCGACUUCAUGAAGUUGGAAUCGCUAGUAAUCGCAGAUCAGCAUGCUGCGGUGAAUACGUUCCCGGGCCUUGUACACACCGCCCGUCAAACCAUGGAAGCCGGCAACGCCCGAAGCCGAUGGCAUAACCUGCAAAGGAGUGAGUCGU
rnacentral:rRNA from 1 species